AGUCGCGCGCGGUGCAGUCGGGAGGUGGAAGCACCGGCUGCAUUGUUCUCGGGAUCGAGGGGUGAGGGCGCUAUGGCACCCGGCUGCAAAACUGAGUUACGCAGCGUGACAAAUGGUCAGUCUAACCAACCAAGUAAUGAAGGUGAUGCCAUCAAAGUUUUUGUGCGAAUUCGUCCUCCUGCAGAAAGAUCUGGGUCAGCUGAUGGAGAGCAGAACUUAUGCUUAUCUGUGCUGUCCUCCACGAGUCUCCGGCUGCACUCCAACCCUGAGCCCAAGACCUUCACGUUUGAUCAUGUUGCAGAUGUGGAUACCACUCAGGAAUCUGUAUUCGCAACUGUGGCUAAAAGCAUUGUGGAGUCUUGCAUGAGCGGUUAUAAUGGUACCAUCUUUGCAUAUGGACAGACUGGCUCAGGGAAGACAUUUACUAUGAUGGGACCAUCUGAAUCUGAUAAUUUUUCUCAUAACCUGAGAGGAGUAAUCCCACGAAGUUUUGAAUAUUUGUUUUCCUUAAUUGAUCGUGAAAAAGAAAAGGCUGGAGCUGGAAAGAGUUUCCUUUGUAAGUGUUCCUUUAUUGAAAUCUACAACGAGCAGAUAUAUGAUCUACUGGACUCUGCAUCGGCUGGACUGUACUUAAGGGAGCAUAUCAAGAAGGGAGUCUUUGUUGUUGGUGCGGUGGAGCAGGUGGUAACCUCAGCUGCUGAAGCCUAUCAGGUGUUGUCUGGAGGAUGGAGGAAUAGACGUGUGGCAUCAACAUCAAUGAACAGAGAAUCGUCUAGAUCUCAUGCAGUUUUUACAAUUACAAUAGAGUCAAUGGAGAAAAGUAAUGAGAUUGUGAAUAUACGGACCUCCCUACUCAACCUGGUGGAUUUAGCAGGAUCUGAAAGGCAAAAAGAUACCCAUGCAGAAGGGAUGAGAUUGAAGGAAGCAGGUAACAUAAAUCGAUCAUUGAGCUGCCUGGGCCAAGUGAUUACAGCACUUGUCGACGUGGGUAAUGGAAAACAGAGACAUGUUUGCUACAGAGACUCCAAACUUACCUUCUUACUACGGGAUUCCCUUGGAGGUAAUGCCAAAACAGCCAUAAUUGCAAAUGUUCAUCCUGGAUCCAGGUGUUUUGGGGAAACCCUAUCAACACUUAACUUUGCUCAAAGAGCCAAGCUGAUUAAAAACAAGGCAGUAGUAAAUGAAGACACCCAAGGAAAUGUGAGCCAGCUCCAAGCUGAAGUGAAGAGGCUCAAAGAACAACUGGCGGAGCUUGCUUCAGGACAGACACCACCAGAAAGCUUCCUGACCAGAGACAAAAAGAAGACUAACUAUAUGGAGUAUUUCCAGGAAGCAAUGUUAUUCUUUAAGAAAUCUGAACAGGAAAAGAAGUCUCUGAUAGAAAAAGUUACCCAAUUAGAAGACCUCACCCUCAAAAAGGAAAAAUUUAUUCAAUCUAAUAAAAUGAUUGUGAAAUUCCGAGAGGAUCAAAUAAUACGCUUGGAAAAGCUCCACAAGGAAUCCCGGGGAGGUUUUCUGCCUGAGGAGCAGGAUCGUUUGCUCUCAGAAUUAAGGGAUGAGAUUCAAACUCUGCGAGAACAAAUAGAGCACCACCCCAGAGUUGCAAAGUAUGCUAUGGAAAAUCAUUCCCUCAGGGAGGAGAAUAGAAGACUGAGAUUAUUAGAGCCUGUGAAAAGAGCUCAAGAAAUGGAUGCCCAGACCAUUGCAAAACUAGAAAAAGCUUUCUCUGAAAUAAGUGGCAUGGAGAAAAGUGACAAAAAUCAGCAAGGAUUUUCACCUAAAGCUCAGAAAGAGCCAUGUUUGUUUGCAAACACUGAGAAGUUAAAAGCACAACUCCUGCAAAUUCAGACAGAGCUGAAUAAUUCAAAGCAAGAAUAUGAAGAAUUCAAAGAACUUACUAGGAAAAGGCAGCUAGAAUUGGAAUCAGAGCUUCAGUCUUUGCAAAAAGCGAACCUUAAUCUUGAAAACCUUUUGGAAGCAACAAAAGCCUGCAAGCGGCAAGAAGUUUCUCAGCUGAAUAAAAUUCAUGCUGAAACACUUAAGAUUAUAACUACACCAACCAAGGCCUACCAACUUCGUUCCCGACCAGUACCAAAAUUAAGCCCUGAAAUGGGAAGCUUUGGCUCUCUAUACACUCAGAAUUCUAGCAUAUUAGAUAAUGAUAUAUUAAAUGAGCCAGUUCCUCCUGAGAUGAAUGAACAAGCUUUUGAGGCCAUUUCUGAAGAGCUUAGAACAGUGCAGGAACAAAUGAGUGCUCUUCAAGCCAAAUUGGAUGAAGAAGAGCAUAAAAACCUAAAGCUUCAGCAGCAUAUUGACAAACUGGAACAUCAUUCUACCCAAAUGCAGGAGCUUUUCUCAUCAGAAAGAAUUGAUUGGACCAAACAGCAGGAAGAGCUUCUCUCACAGUUGAAUGUCCUUGAAAAGCAGCUUCAAGAGACUCAAACUAAAAAUGACUUUUUGAAAAGUGAGGUACAUGACCUGCGAGUAGUCCUUCAUUCUGCUGACAAGGAGCUUUCUUCAGUGAAAUUGGAAUAUAGUUCAUUCAAAACGAGUCAGGAGAAAGAAUUCAACAAACUUUCCGAAAGACACAUGCAUGUGCAGCUUCAAUUAGAUAAUCUCAGGUUAGAAAACGAAAAGCUGCUUGAGAGCAAAGCCUGCCUACAGGAUUCCUAUGACAACUUACAAGAAAUAAUGAAAUUUGAGAUUGACCAACUUUCAAGAAACCUCCAAAACUUCAAAAAAGAAAAUGAAACUCUGAAAUCUGAUCUGAAUAAUUUGAUGGAGCUUCUUGAGGCAGAAAAAGAACGCAAUAACAAAUUAUCAUUACAGUUUGAAGAAGAUAAAGAAAACAGUUCUAAAGAAAUCUUAAAAGUUCUUGAGGCUGUACGUCAGGAGAAACAGAAAGAGAUGGCCAAGUGUGAGCAGCAGAUGGCAAAAGUACAGAAACUAGAAGAGAGCUUGCUUGCUACUGAAAAAGUGAUCAGUUCCCUGGAAAAGUCUAGAGAUUCUGAUAAGAAAGUUGUAGCUGACCUCAUGAACCAGAUCCAGGAGCUAAGAACAUCGGUCUGUGAGAAAACAGAAACUAUAGACACCCUGAAACAAGAACUGAAGGACAUAAAUUGCAAAUACAACUCUGCUUUGGUUGACAGAGAAGAGAGCAGAGUGUUGAUCAAGAAGCAGGAAGUGGAUAUUCUGGAUCUGAAAGAAACCCUUAGGCUGAGAAUACUUUCUGAGGACAUAGAGAGGGAUAUGCUCUGUGAGGACCUGGCUCAUGCCACUGAGCAGCUGAACAUGCUCACAGAGGCCUCAAAAAAACACUCGGGGCUGCUGCAGUCUGCCCAGGAAGAACUGACCAAGAAGGAAGCCCUGAUUCAGGAACUUCAGCACAAGCUAAACCAAAAGAAAGAGGAAGUAGAACAGAAGAAGAAUGAAUAUAACUUCAAAAUGAGGCAACUAGAACAUGUGAUGGAUUCUGCUGCUGAGGAUCCCCAGAGUCCUAAGACACCACCUCACUUUCAAACACAUUUGGCAAAACUCCUGGAAACACAAGAACAAGAGAUAGAAGAUGGAAGAGCCUCUAAGACUUCUUUGGAACACCUUGUAACAAAGCUAAAUGAAGACAGAGAAGUCAAAAAUGCUGAAAUCCUCAGAAUGAAGGAGCAGUUGUGUGAAAUGGAAAACCUACGCCUGGAAAGUCAGCAGUUAAUAGAGAAAAACUGGCUCCUGCAAGAUCAGCUGGAUGAUAUUAAAAGACAAAAGGAAAACAGUGAUCAGAAUCAUCCAGAUAAUCAACAGCUGAAGAAUGAACAAGAAGAAAGUAUCAAAGAAAGACUUGCAAAAAGUAAAAUAGUUGAAGAAAUGCUGAAAAUGAAAGCAGACCUAGAAGAAGUCCAAAGUGCCCUUUACAACAAAGAGAUGGAAUGCCUUAGAAUGACUGAUGAAGUCGAACGAACCCGAACUUUGGAGUCUAAAGCAUUCCAGGAAAAAGAACAACUGAGAUCAAAGCUGGAAGAAAUGUAUGAAGAAAGGGAGAGAACAUCCCAGGAGAUGGAAAUGUUAAGGAAGCAGGUGGAGUGUCUUGCUGAGGAAAAUGGAAAGUUGGUAGGUCACCAAAAUUUGCAUCAGAAGAUUCAGUACGUAGUGCGACUAAAGAAGGAAAAUGUCAGGCUUGCUGAGGAGACAGAAAAGUUGCGUGCUGAAAAUGUAUUUUUAAAAGAAAAGAAAAGAAGUGAAUCAUGAGGAUUCCGGUCAGCUACCUAGGCAUCACCUUGUUUGAAGAUGUUUCUUCUCUUUUACAAGAAUGGAAUUGCUGAUAUAACUAUGAUACGAUAUGAUAACAUGUACAGAGGAGAGGUCAUUUGAGGACAUAGCAAGAAGGAGAGAAGGCAAGCCAGGAAAAGGGCCCUCAUCAGAACCUGAAUUUGCCAGCACAUUGAUCAUGGACUUCCCAGCCUGCAGAACUGUGAGAAAAUAAAUAUCCGUUGUUUAAGUCAUGCAGUCUGUGGUAUUUGUUAUGGCGGCAUGAGCUGACUGAUACAACCCAAAUGGCCAUCCAUAUUCAUCUAUGGAAUACUACUCUUCAGUAAAAAGGAAGAGAGUAUUGAUACAUGCUAUCACAAGGAGAAUCAUAAAAUAAUUAUGCUAAGUGAAAGAAGCCAGACCCAAAAAGAAUAUAUACCAUAUAGUUCCAUUUAUAUAUAAUUAAAAAGAAAAAAAGUCAAAACUUCAGUGACAGAAGGCAGAUCAGUGGUUGCUUAGGGCUGGGAAUCAGGGCAAGAAGGAACUUUUUAGGAUGAUGGCUCUUUUCUACAUCUUGAUCAUAGUGGUCAUUACACAACUGUAUAAAACUAACAUUCUACACUUAAAGCGGGUGAAUUUUAUUGGAUAUAAAUUAUACCUCAAUAAAGCUAGGGGGAACUCAGUAAGAUGCCAUUGAUGCCAUUUCAUACAAGAUUGGCAAAAGUUACAAAGUUGAACAAGCAAGGCCAAUGUUGUGGAGCACUGUGAAUUCCCAUGUGCUACUGCUGGAAGUAUAAAUUAGUAUAACCCUCUGGAAACAUUUUACUAUCAUCUGACGAAAGAGAAGAUGUGCCUACUGUUUGAGCCAGCAAUUCCAGUCCUGGAAACUCUCACUUGUGCACAAGGAGACAUGAACACACAUGCUUGUUGCAGCAGUGUUUAUAACUGAGAAAAAUGUAAAACAAUCUAAUAUCAAUGGGAGAAUAGAGAAGUUAUAGCAUACAGUGUAUUGAACACUAUACAGUGGUGACAAGCAUGAAUUACAUGGAAAAAUUACAUGAAAAAAUCUCAAAAUCAUAAUGUAGAGUGAAAAAAAGUAGAAGGGAGCGUUAAGUAUGAUAAUUUUACAAAAAAAUUUAAAAUCUUCAAAACAAUACUACUUAUUAUUUUAGAUAUCCACAUGUUUAGUAAGUAUUUUUAAAUAUGCAAGGGAACUUAAAUACCAAACUCAGAGUGGUGGUUACUUUGGGGAGGGAGGAAAGGAAGUUGGGGUUGGGAAGGGAUAUAUAAGGGGCUGAGAGCUUCAGUUAUAACCCAUAAGUUUUAUUUCUUGAACUUGAUGAGGGAGAUGUAAGUUUUCAUUGCUGUUUUUUCUUUGAAUUUUUGUAAGGUUUCAUAAAUGUUUUUAGACAACACUUCACUGAUAAAUGGGAAUGAUCACAUUUAACAAUCAUUAGACAUACAAAUCUUACUGCUGUUGUUUAGCAAGAAAACCCCAAGAUCGUCUUUGCUAGCUGAUGUGUGCUCUGGGCUCUUUGGGCCUGGGUAAGGAAUGGCAGGGCCCAGCCCAGAGUCUGGAGGUGUGGUGAAUCAGAUAGGUUAGGGUGGGAGGUGAGACAGACCAUGUUGGUUCCAGUGGAAUUGGCUCCAGGGCUGGACUGGCCAGAGAAUUAUUACUCCAAAUUCCAGAGCCAUCCAGUUCCUUUGGGAAACAGGGGCUUGGAGGGCUCAGAUUUCCCCCAAAUCCACUCAACUUGUCAUAGAUUGAGCUGAGAUGGGACCCCAGAUAGCCUGGCUGAGAGCCUGUCUUGUCUGUACUGCUUCCGUGUUCCCUUGCUGGUCUUCAAUAGGGUCCCCAAAGUUCUUCUUGCCCGGAGGCCUGCAGCAGUGAGUCCUGACUGUCACCAGCAUGGUCCCUCACAGGGUAACCCCUCACCAGAGUUUAAAAGUCAGUCCCCUAUGCAGUUAGACCUAAUGCUACACCAGGGGGAAAAUUCAAAAGGAAAAAAUACACAAUUUAGGCAACAGGGUUCCUAGCUGCAUUACUGCUAGCAGCAGUUAGUUGCCUGAUAGUCGAGAAAUGGUUAGGCAAAUAUGGUAGAAUAUCACGUGCCCACGAACAGGGGUGAGCAUUUGAAAUAGGCGGAUCCUAGACAGUGUCCACAAGGCAGCCUGCCAGGCAUGGCCUGAAGUGCCAGGUUUGCUCCAUGCAGUGUAAACACAUUUGUGUUCAAUGGCAAGCGCUAGGAGUGGCUUAAAAAGAGGUGACUUCAGGGUUUAUUGGAUUCUUUUAUUUUUCUCCUAUAAAGUUGUUUACAUAUAUAAUAGGAGUCAGAUUAGAGAUGAAUUUAUAGCUUCAGAUAUAAGAAGAAAAGAUUUUGCUCCCACAAAUCUGUGGAUGCGUAUUUACUAACUCCUCCCUGUCUCCACACAAAAAAAGGGGGCAGGGAUGCAUCAGGAUGCCUAUCUUUAUGAUUUAGCUCCGAGCUUAGCACCAUGAACAGCCGCUGUGGUGCCUAGAGUCCGACAGGGCCUCAGUUGUUCUUUCAUCCUCAGAAUUGCGGGGUGGAUGCAGAGGUGGGUCAGGGAUUAGGCUUGAAUCCCCAAAACCAAUGUGUAUUGGGCUUUCCUUCCAAAAGGGACUCCCGGCAUGCGUUGGGAGCAGAGGACACAGCCUCCCCUGACCUCUGCAGGAGGCACCUGCCCCACAGGCACAGGCAUGGGGCCGCUCCCAGACUUCCACCUGAGCACCCUGUCCUGUUUGCUUAUUUGUUCAUUUAUUCAUGCAUUCCCUCAUCUGCUGAGCACUCUGUGCCAUGCUAUGGGCUAGGGACACAAAAUGAGAAGAUUCCAUUCCUGGCUAAGGUCCUCUAUGAACUUCAUCUUGAAACGUGUCUUCUGUUCCCCACCUUACCUGGUGGUUUUCAGGCUCUUCUUGCCUGAUUUUUCCUUUUCUCCCUCCUCCCCAGCUCCAUCAUCUGUGGAUUAAUGUGAAGUGUAGACCAUGCCAACUUUUCUGGGACAGCAGAUUCAGAGCCUCCUGUCCCAUGGUGGGGCCUGUGCCUGGUCCUCUUGGAGAGCAGAGAGCAGAGGGUCUUGAGUGGGCUGCCUCUGAUCCCAAUAUGCCUGGAGUUGGCCACCAGGUGCUAGUGCAAUACGGUGGCUGCAGUUCAGCAGCUGGUGGGGGAGGGGGAUGCUGAUGGCCCCAGUGGCCUGUGACUAGACCAUGGUGUCAGCUGUGGCCCCAGACAGGAAACGUGAGAAAAGAUGAUCCUUUGGGACCAGCUGACAGAUAAAAUGCCACAUGCACAAGGAACUAAAUAAAGGCCAACUCUGCUGAGGCCCGGAAGUUCUGUUGCAGGAAGAGGGAAGGGAGGCUCACGGGGAUCAUCUCCUGAUGCCCAGGUGGCUGCCUCUCUCUAGGCUGCACUUUUUCCAUCUGUGAAAUGAGGUUGUUGGGAUGGGGGGGUCCUUUGUAAGGUCCGCGGUUUAGCUCAUUUCUUGCGGAGAAUUUUGAAUGCCUUUGCCUCUUCACAGCAUCCUGCUUCAGACACUUGACCUGUGGCGUGGGUGUUAUUAUUUCCCACCUCCCAGAUGAAGAAACAGAGGCACAGAGAAGUAACUUCCCAAGGUCACACAGUGGAUCUGUAGAGGACCCAGGAUGUAGGCCCAGUUCUGUCUGACCCAAAGUCUAUUCCUUUUAGACACUUUUAUACUCACUCUGGUACCCUGGAUUCUCUGGCCUGGAAGGCACUGGAGAAAGCUCAUCUUGCACAAGCCCCUCAUUUGUCAAAGAUGAUGAAAGAAGCUCAGAGAGGUGAAGCAACUAAAACCCAGACCCUCUCACCCCUAGGCCAGGACUUUUAUUUAGAGGCUUUUUCCAUUUAAGUAGUGAAUUUAUUCUUAAAUAGGUAAUUCAUGCACAUGGUGCUAAAUUCUGAUGAUGUAAAAGGAAAUACAGAGAAAAUCAAGCAUCCUUCUCCCACUCCUGAGCCUGUAAUCAUAGGGCCUAGGGCUUCUCUGCAGACAGAGCCCAGCCAAGACUUUUCGUAAAUGCCAUGUGCACUUCAGGGCUUGGUUUGUUCUAUUAUAUUUAGGGAUGCGGUGCUGAGAUGCUUGCCUGCAGAACAGCAAAAACCUCUGACUUCAUUAUUGUUAUUCAAAGUAACCAGGGUCAUUGCUCUCUGGCUUGCCUUAAAGCCAGCAAAGGCAAUUGCCCAUCCCCGGGCUUUUGGUCUGGAAGAGACCGUUGGCAUCAUUAUUCAGUCCCCUCACUUUUCAGGUAAGGAGCUAAUGAAGACAACAUUCCCAGUGACACACGGCAAGUUACUGUGGUGUUGGGGUUUCAAUGUCAGGAGUCUCCUCUCUUCCUCUGGCAUUUCUGCUACUAUGCCAGGCUGGCUCCUUUCAGUAGACAUAACAUCAUUGAAAAAUACCACAAGUGCCCCUGUGGAGAGCAGAGCAGAUAGCCAUUAAAAUUACAAAAGCUUAUGCUUUUUGGCCCAACAUUUCCACUUCAAGGCAUUCAAUUCUUCCUAUAGAUACACUCACGUGAGGGUAAAAUGAUCUCUGUAUAACCUUAUUCUUUGCAAAACUUAUUGUAAUAAGGAAAUAUUGGAAGCAACCCAGAUGCCUACGGAUGGGAGGUGAGUUACAUAAAUUCGGGACCAUCCACACAAACAGAAUAUGUGCAGCUGUGAAAAGACUGGGCCACCUCUCCACGUGCAAUAGGAACAGCUCCAUCUUGCCAGGCGUGGUGGCUCACACCUGUAAUCCCAGUACUUUGGGAGGUGAAGGUGGGGCGGAUCCCUUGAGCCUAGGCAUUCCAGACCAGCCUGGGCAAUGCAGUGAUAUGCUCUCAUUGUGUAAAUAAAACAAAAUAAUACAUCAUUUGCU